CAGGGAGACAACAAAAUGUUAAAUAUUAAUUUUGUCACCUUAGGUCGAUCGGUAUCUCAGAUUCUUAAUUACUUUAAGAAUUUCAUUUCCUAAGUUUUUUCUAGGUCACACCCAUUACUUUCCCUGGGCCAUUAGCUCAGGUGGUUAGAGCGCACCCCUGAUAAGGGUGAGGUCCCUGGUUCAAGUCCAGGAUGGCCCAUAUCUCUAUGUUGGGGGUAUAGCUCAGUUGGUAGAGCGCCUGCUUUGCAAGCAGGAUGUCAGCGGUUCGAGUCCGCUUACCUCCACUGAUUACCACCUCUUCCAUAAAUUUAAAGAAGGGAAUUGUUAAUAGAGGUGAUUUAGUUCUGAACGAAUCUAGCUUCCUAAUAAAUACAUUAAGAUGCUGGACUCAUUGAAUUUUAUUCAUUGUUUUCAGAGAACCUUGACAACUGCAUAGAUUAUUUUUAAAGACAAUAAGCAUCUUUAAUGAUGCAGAUUUAUUAUUUGUGCUAAUGCAUUAAUAACAAUUCUAUUGAGCUGAUGCUUCAAUUUUUUGAAGUUAUU
rnacentral:tRNA from 1 species